GACGAACGCUGGCGGCGUGCCUAAUACAUGCAAGUUGAGCGCUGAAGGUUGGUACUUGUACCAACUGGAUGAGCAGCGAACGGGUGAGUAACGCGUGGGGAAUCUGCCUUUGAGCGGGGGACAACAUUUGGAAACGAAUGCUAAUACCGCAUAAAAACUUUAAACACAAGUUUUAAGUUUGAAAGAUGGAAUUGCAUCACUCAAAGAUGAUCCCGCGUUGUAUUAGCUAGUUGGUGAGGUAAAGGCUCACCAAGGCGAUGAUACAUAGCCGACCUGAGAGGGGGGGUGGACAAACGGGGAAGGAAACACGGCGGAGGUGAAGACGGGAGUAAGCAGGAGGGAAUUUUCGGGAAUGGGAGAAAGCCUGAGAGAGAAGAGAAGAGUGAGGGAAGAAGGGAUUCGGAUCGUAAAAGUUGGUCAUAGAUGACGAUAAUGACGGUACUAGAGGAGGAAGACCCGGCUAACUAAGUG
rnacentral:rRNA from 1 species